UUUUGGUCGAGAAUAUGUUUGUAUAUUUUCAGAAAACAACUCCGAGACCAUGUGGAUUCCAGCAACAGAGAGGAAUCGACAGGACUACUCCAGCCAUCAAGACAGAAGAGAAGCAGUCCAGAGAUGGAAGACACUGACGUCGCCUUGCCAUACUAGCAGUUAACAGCUUUGUGUCACUACAGGUUGCCCAGGACCAAACCAGAGAGGGGCCAGUGAGUGCCUCUUACAACUCAGAACCUCAAAGAAAACCUCAACCCUGUUGUUCCCAGAGCAGUCUUGCCAUCUAUUGGAUGGGUGGACCCCAGAGAAAACUGAGGGUGCUAAAAGUGUCUGGUAGUUGGUUCCAGGCACUCCAAAUUUCCUGUUCGUAGUGGCACUCCUCUUGAUUCUCCAAGCGGCACCUUUCCAGAUUCUCAAGCUUUGACCUCAAGUCGACAAACACCUGAGCCCAGAUACUGUCUUGAAAUUCUGCAAGUUGCAUCUCCAAAUCAUCAAUAUGCAUCCAUUGGAAACCAUUUAAUUCCAAACUACUGUAGACUACUACAUCAGGAUACUUAAUUAUUUUCAUGGUCUGUUCUAGACUUCUAAAUUGACUAAAUCUAUCACUAAACUGCUCAAGUAACGAGUCUAAAACAUGAUGGUACUUCAUA